GGUGAAUCCACCUGAAAGUCACAGGAGUUUCUUAGGAACAGCUGAGUGACGCUGUUCCCGGCUCCGGGAGGGCUGUGACUGUUCCUAACUCCUGCAAAUCAAAGCAAUUGGAGAAACAAGAGAGCCCACGGAAGGAUCUGGAGUUAUCCAUGGAGCCUGGCUAAUCUUUGCACAUCAAUCUGUCUCCCUCCACCCAGGGAAUGGGAGCCAGGCAGAUUCCUGCAGUGAGAAGGGACAGGUUUGCCCAGCCCACCAACUUCUCCUGCAAAUACUUCGCUCCCAGGGCGAUCUCCCAUCUUUCCCCAGCUCCAAAUCCACGUCUUCCCAAAAUACUUCUGUGAAAUGCACGGAGUGUGUUACAGGGGUUAGAGCAGGGUCUGGAUCACUCUCAGGUCUCCUCUCACCUCUACCAGCAAUAAAUCCUAGUUUUUAAGCUGUCUCAGCCAGGCUUUCUUUAUUUCCAUUUCUUUGAAGAGUUAUUUCCAGGAUUCUGCCAGUUUUUCCUGGGAUGAAGAUUUUUCUAAGGGCUCACAAGGAGAAAAUUAUGCAAUGUGGUGUCAGAGCUUGGUUUCUGCUGUUCUUGGGGACAGGGGACAAGUGAAGGUAGGGGAGGAUUUAAUCUCUCAGUGCCUCACUGAGCCAAAACACCACCAGUGAUUGUCCCCAGAGCUCAGAGGGUCAGAAACCAUGGAAUGGGUUGGGUUGGGAGGGACAUUAAACAUCAUCUCAUUCCAACCCCUGCCAUGGGCAGGGACACCUUCCACUAGCCCAGGUCUUGGACACUUCCAGGGAUGGGGCAGCCACAGCUUCUCUGGGCAACCUGUGCCAGGGCCUGACCACACUCCCAGCCAAGAAUUCCUUCCCAAUAUCCCAUCUAACAUUCCUCUGUCAAUUUAAAGCCAUUCCCCUUCAUCCUGUCGCUCCAUGCCCUUGCCCAAAGUCCCUCUCCAGCUCUCCUGGAGCCCCUUUAGGCACUAAAAGGAUCUCUAAGGUCUCCUUGGAGCCUUCUCUCCUCUGGGCUGAACAAAUCCAUCCCUCUCAGCCUUUCCUCCCAGGAGAGGAGUUCCAUCCCUCGAAUAAUCUUUGUGGCUCCAGGGUAGACAAACCCCCCACACCAGUGACUCAACACCACCACCACUUCAAGGGGCAGGCCAGGACACAGGACUGGGAAAAAAACAGUUGAAGGAACAAAAGAAAAACCCCUUUCUAUCAUUAUUUUUGCUGAUGGCUUUGAAUUAAAAACCACAUUCCUAUUUCACAGACCCGGACUGGUUGAGGUCAGAAGGGACCUCAUGGAGAUCAUCUGGGCCAAAGCCCUGCUCAGGCAGGAACACCUCCAGUUGUCCAGGAUCACAUGCAGGUGGCUUUGAAAUGUGUCAAAGAAUGGGAAGUCCAUCUCUCAGGGCAAUGUCCCAGCUCCUCAUAGGAGAGAUGCUCCAGUCCCUUCAUCCUCCUCCUGGCCCUUUGCUGGUCUCUCUGGUGCCUGUCCCUGUCUCUGUUGUCCUGGAAUGCCAGCCCUGGGCACCCAAAAGGGCAGGAAAAGCCUGCUGAAGCCCGGGAUUGAACCAGGGACCUUUAGAUCUUCAGUCUAACGCUCUCCCAGCUGAGCUACUUCAGCCCUACUGGAGCUCAAAUUUUCACAAAACCUCUUGAAAGAUGAUUUUCAGACAUUUGCUGUUCCAAGUGGCUUCCCUUCCAGGCAGUUCUUCACAGAAUCACAGAAUGGUUUGGGUUGGAAAGGACCUGAAAUGUCACCUGGUUCCAUGGGCAGGGACACCUUCCACUAGACCACGUUGCUUAAAGUGACUUUCCUUUUCAUAUCCCUUAUCCCAAGAGUUCCAGCAACCAAGAAAGUUCAUCUGCAGGACUCAGUCUGAGGGUUGACAGUGUUUCUCAGAUCUGAGCACAUUCCAGCCUCAAAUCCUUGAGAUCUCUUACCUGCUACAGCAGAGAGUCCUUUCACUGAUGAGGGAACUGAGACACAGGGGAACCAGUGGAUUUUUGGGGCUUUUUUUACUAGUUUUGCUGAGCCACUGCUCAGCUCUUGGGGGAAAACCACAGCAAAUACCAAACUGGCUUGUGAAAACAUAUUUGUUUAAUUUUACCAUCUAGAACAUCACAGAUUGCUGGUUUAAAGGCAGGAGAUCCCCUUCCAAAAGAGUUGUCACAUCAAACCUUUCACUUUGAAAGAGCCCCUUCUUUACCUGAAGACCCAGUUAAGGAAAGGCAGGGUGGGAUAUUUUGGAAAAACAGUGUUAAAGAGACAAAUUUUGUUGCAGAUGCAAGAGAUUAUAUCAUGGAAUCAUUGAAAAGUUUGAGUUGGAAGGGACCUUCAAGAUCAUCCCUUUCCAGCCCAUGGGCAGGGACACCUUUCACUAGCCCAGGUUGCUCCACACCCCGUCUGACCUGGCCUUGGGCACUUCCAGGGAUGGGAAAUCCACAACUUCUGUGGCCAAACUGUUCCAGGAACAGCCUCUCCCCAGGAAUAACAGACCUCCUUGGGUUUCUCUGGUGGAGCAUCAGCUGGGAAGCUGGAAUGGAAAACAGACUGGAAAACUUCUCACUUCUCUUGGCCUAUUAUGUCACAUAUUGUAUCAUGAUGUGCAAUAGUUUAACCACACUUAAAUCACUCUAAACUACAUAAAUUACCUCCAAUAAUCCCUCUCCUUUCCAAAUGCUGGCACUUUUUUGUCCCAGAACACAGCAAUCUUGCCGUCUUCCAUGUAAUUGCACAUGGAAUUCAUCUCUGCCUCUUGAAUAAAUAAGAGUUAUGUUCCCCAGUAUUCACCCAGUCACACAUAAUUUUCUCUGUUUUCCAGUGUUAUAAAAAAGAAAGGCAGCUGAGAAUGAUUGGGGGGUAAAUCUUUGUGCUUAAAUGUAAAGGGCUU